UACGUAGGGUGCAAGCGUUGUCCGGAAUUAUUGGGCGUAAAGAGCUCGUAGGCGGUUUGUCGCGUCUGCUGUGAAAACUCGGGGCUUAACUCCGGGCCUGCAGUGGGUACGGGCAGACUAGAGUGCGGUAGGGGGAGACUGGAAUUCCUGGUGUAGCGGUGAGAUGCGCAGAUAUAGGAGGACACCGGUGGCGAAGGCGGGUCUCUGGGCCGUAACUGACGCUGAGGAGCGAAAGCGUGGGGAGC
rnacentral:rRNA from 1 species